AUCGUUAACUGUUGUGAAAAUACUGUACAACAGUAAAUCCAUUCUUAACAGCUUAAUAUCUGUUAUAUCCUGCAUCACAGGACUAGAAUAUUAAACUCUUUCUUGGCUCAUGGUGGAGUGCUAAGAGCAUGCACUACAUCUGUCACAGGUGCCUCCCCGCUUUCAAAUUCCCGUAAGAUAGCUAAAUGCUU